rnacentral:lncRNA from 1 species
UAUCAACGGCCCUGGCAUUGAAAGCUCUUCGCCAGAACUAUGGAAUGGUUCCCACACCCUCACCGGGUCCUCUGCUCCCUACAGCUCUGCACACUUUUCUUUUUUUUUUUUUUGCUUGUUUUUCGGUACUGGGUAUUGAACCCAGGGCCUUUGCAUUCAGCUACAUCCCCAGUUUUAUUCCAGGGAGGGCUUGAACUUGGGACCCUCCUGCCUCAGCUCUUUUUUGUGGAACAUCCUCAGUGAGGGCGACUCCCACUUGGACCUCAGUCGUGACUUCUGGCAAAAUCCAGACAGCUUGGGUGCUUAGAGAUUUUGGAGAAGUUGAGACUGCCCAUAAAGCAGGAAGAAGUGCUCAGAAAGCCAGGCUCUGGGUCUCGGUUGGCUGGUCUGUCAGAUGGCCAUGCCUUGGCUAAGGUCACGCAGUGAGGCGGUGGUCUAUCCUAGCUGCCCGCGGCUUCUGCUCCCACACGUUAACUGCUUUUUUUUCGGUUUCUGGUACCGGGGAUGGAACUCAGGUCCCUCCGCUUGCGAGGCAGGCGGCAAAACCAAUGAGCUAAAUGCCCGACCCCCACACGUUAGCUGUGGAAGAGCAGGAAGAAGACCUGGCGCCCGGGAGGCGUGGGCGCGGUUUACAGCCCUGAGGGCGUGGCCGACUUCCAGGCCCUCCCACCACGCGCCUGACGCAAAUGGACAUAGACGUCAUGACGUCGCGUUCCUCGGGGCUCUUCCCGGGCUCGCGCGGGUCACGUGGGUCGCUUUUUGCGCGAAAACUGCUAAUUGUGGGAGCGGAGUAGAGAGCAACGCUGCAAUGGCGGAAUCAUCCGAGUCCUUCUCCACGGCAUCUAGUCCUGCCCCGAGGCGGCGAGGCAAUGACCUCCUCACAUCUAGCCCUGGCCGAAGCUCGCGACGCACGGAUGCCCUGACCUCCAGCCCUGGCCGAGACCUU